AGGGGCAGCAUAUAGAUUGCUUGCAAUUUAUGAUGGCGACCGGCGCACGGGUGAGUAACGCGUAUCCAACCUACCCAUUACUAGGGAAUAACCCAGCGAAAGUUGGCCUAAUGCCCUAUGUAGUCGUUUGAUCGCCUGAGAUUUCGACGAAAGAUUUAUCGGUAUUGGAUGGGGAUGCGUCUGAUUAGCUUGUUGGCGGGGUAAAGGCCCACCAAGGCAACGAUCAGUAGGGGUUCUGAGAGGAAGGUCCCCCACAUUGGAACUGAGACACGGUCCAAACUCCUACGGGAGGCAGCAGUGAGGAAUAUUGGUCAAUGGGCGAGAGCCUGAACCAGCCAAGUAGCGUGCAGGAUGACGGCCCUAUGGGUUGUAAACUGCUUUUAUAUGGGAAUAAAUUGAGGGACGUGUCCCUUAUUGCAUGUACCAUAUGAAUAAGGACCGGCUAAUUCCGUGCCAGCAGCCGCGGUAAUACGGAAGGUCCAGGCGUUAUCCGGAUUUAUCGGGUUUAAAGGGAGCGUAGGCUGUUUGUUAAGCGUGUUGUGAAAUGUAAGAGCUCAACUUUUAGAUUGCAGCGCGAACUGGCAGACUUGAGUGCGCACAACGUAGGCGGANNNCAUGGUGUAGCGGUGAAAUGCUUAGAUAUCAUGACGAACUCCGAUUGCGAAGGCAGCUUACGGGAGCGCA
rnacentral:rRNA from 1 species